AAGUCGAGCGCGCCCUUCGGGGUGAGCGGCGGACGGGUUAGUAACGCGUGGGAAUAUACCCGACACUAAGGAAUAGCCUCUGGAAGCGGAGAGUAAUACCUUAUACGCCCUUCGGGGGAAAGAUUUAUCGGUGACGGAUUAGCCCGCGUUAGAUUAGAUAGUUGGUGGGGUAAUGGCCUACCAAGUCUACGAUCUAUAGCUGGUUUUAGAGGAUGAUCAGCAACACUGGGACUGAGACACGGCCCAGACUCCUACGGGAGGCAGCAGUGGGGAAUCUUGGACAAUGGGCGCAAGCCUGAUCCAGCCAUGCCGCGUGAGUGAUGAAGGCCUUAGGGUCGUAAAGCUCUUUCGCCAGAGAUGAUAAUGACAGUAUCUGGUAAAGAAACCCCGGCUAACUCCGUGCCAGCAGCCGCGGUAAUACGGAGGGGGUUAGCGUUGUUCGGAAUUACUGGGCGUAAAGCGUACGUAGGCGGAUUAGUCAGUUAGAGGUGAAAUCCCGGGGCUCAACCCCGGAACUGCCUUUAAUACUGCUAGUCUUGAGUUCGAGAGAGGUGAGUGGAAUUCCGAGUGUAGAGGUGAAAUUCGUAGAUAUUCGGAGGAACACCAGUGGCGAAGGCGGCUCACUGGCUCGAUACUGACGCUGAGGUACGAAAGUGUGGGGAGCAAACAGGAUUAGAUACCCUGGUAGUCCACACCGUAAACGAUGAAUGCCAGUCGUCGGGUAGCAUGCUAUUCGGUGACACACCUAACGGAUUAAGCAUUCCGCCUGGGGGAGUACGGUCGCAAGAUUAAAACUCAAAGGAAUUGACGGGGGCCCGC
rnacentral:rRNA from 1 species